GCCCAGCCUGGGCAGGGCAGGCAGGGUCUGCCUUUUCCAGUUCUCUGAUGGGUUUCCUCCACAGUACAUACUGCUGAGGGUUUCGCCCGUGUGCUCUGGAACACCUGCAUCAACGGCUGCUUGCCCUGACUCUGGGACUUGGUACUUUCUGGAUCCAAGAGCCACAUGGACCCCUUGCCACCAAUUUUGCCCCUGUCUGUGCCUUACAUACCAGCUUCAGUGACCCUUCCAAAAUGAAGGUCAAGCCUGCCCCUCUGCUGGAAGCUCAGUCAGCUGCCUGUCUCAUUCAGCUUGUCUGGGUCCCGAGAGCCAGCGGCUUGAUUCCCUGUAACCCAGAUGUCAAGAUGCCUCAGAGGGUAAAGGUGCCUGCCACCAAAACUGGUGACUUCAGUUCAGUCCCUAAAGACCACAUGGUGAACGGAGAGAACCAACUCUCCAUUUGUUGUUCUCCCCAGAGUUGUUCUCUGAUCAUCACAUGCACCGUGACACGCCAUCCCCAGAAGAAAUAAAGACCUGUACAUUUCCUAUAGCCAUCCCUUCGUCCACACUCACCCCAGUCAAAUACCCUGGCUCACACCUCCCCUGCCCACUCUUGCCUCUUGCAGCUGAUCAUCAAUCCAGCCCGACACUGUUCAUUCAGGCUCUCGCCACAGCCGUUUAAAGCGUUACUUUUGAUUGUUUCCCCCUGUGUCAAAAUAAGAUGUAUUUCUGAUGGAAAAAAUAUAGAAGGCACAGAU